rnacentral:misc_RNA from 1 species
UUUGGCAUUAUUAGCUUCAAACUGGUUAUCGCUGAAGUAAUUUGGCUGAAGUGUAUCUGUAAGGUGCAACGCGUUUCCUAUAUUGCCUAUUAUUCAUUAUUUAUUUGGAUUUGCCCUCUAUUUUGUGAUUAAAAUAUUGGUUAUCUUGUUAAUUGUAUGUGUUGACAUUGGUUUGAUUUUUAAAUUUGACUUUAGCUUUCUGCUUUGGUUGGGCCAUUUCUAAAAUUUUCAAAGGUCUUUCCUGGUUUGCUGUUUGAACUUCAUUUAUGCUGUUCAUUAGUUGUACGAAAGCAGAAGCAUGUUGGUAAUACUUGGUCAAGGAUUUAUAUGAAUAGCUAAGUUUCCUAAUACCAUCCUUGUUUUCACUGAGCAGAAGUUCUUUUAGAUGUUGCAGUGGAGUUAAUGUGAUUACAUUCCUUCUAGACUUAUCCCCCUAUCCCGACCAAAUGAAACAAUCCACCAAAAACACUCAGAGAGAGAGAGAGAGAGAG